CAGGUUUUAGAAAUAAACUUCCCCAUAUUUCUAGAUAAGAGAGCCGCUCCAUCCAAAGUGGGAUGGAUGCCGUCUCUCCUAAUCAGACCAGGUUUUCCCCAAAAAGGCUUCCAGUUAUCAAUGAAGCCCACAUCGUUUGCUGGACACCACCUCGACAGCCAGCGGUGGAAUGACGACAUGCGGCUAUACAUGUCAUCUACGCACAGCACCGUCAAAAAAGAGCACCUGGUCUGAACUGCUGUGUCGCUGAGAUGUGGUCUCCUCUGUCGUUGGGUCCUCUGGGGGAGGGCAUCUGCCCGGCGGCCGGCCGAUUCUGGAGUGCGGGAUGGACCCCUCUGAGGUCUGGAGCUCUCCUUCCUCUGCUCUUGCUGCUGGCCGGGGGGUGUUCUGUGCCCCAGGAUAGAGAGCGGAGGGAACCCGGCCUGUCACCAUCUCCGGACCACCACAUCAGACUUGGAAAAAUUAAGAGUGACAUAAUUUAAUAAUUCAACUCACUAUGAUUUAUUUAAACAAUAUCAAUAAAAAAUCAUAAAUGUCACAAUCUCCAAUUUCUCUGUCUGGAUUUGUUCUUUUUUAUAUUCUGUCCCAUAUGCAUAAUGACUUUCUCACACCAUUUACUUGUAAUAACCAACUUACCUUGUGUUCUGAUUGUCAUUUUCAUAUGCAUAUUUCCUGAGCUGCACCUGUGACAGUGUAAAACACACCUGGAUUCAGCACGUUCUGCAUUACGUUAUAAUUUUACACAAUUUAUUUCGUUGAUGUGUUGUCUCCUGUGUUUUCACCAAUUUUAUUUCUAUUUUAUUUCCUUUCUUAAAUUAUUAAAAAAAUAUAUUUUAUUUCCAGGGAGGCGGGGUCUGCACGACGGACCGCACGCCCCCAGGCCAGUGCACCAGAGCCCUAUCUGGGUUUCUAACUUCACUCACUCCGAACCUAACCCUAACCCCUAACCCUAACCCUAAGUAAAAGUUUAUAUUUUUUAAUAUCUGCAUUGAAAUAUUUCAAUUCAAUGUGUAUUUUUAUCUAUUUUUGGUUUAUAUAGUAAGCUAUUUCAUUCCUCAGCCUUGUCAUACAAACUGCUGUUUUACCAAUUUGUAAAUAUCAGGAUCAUUAUUGAUAUUAUUAUCACAAGGUGUUAAAAUUUUGAAGUUACAGUAAUUUGUAUUUGCCUUGAAUAACUUAAAAAAAUUUAAUUAAAUAAAACUCACCUGUUUGCUGGGGAGAGUGUAGAUCAGAAAGGUGUGUGGACUCAGCAGGUGAGUAUCUGGUCUGAUGGUCUGUGUGUCUCAGAGUUAAGAGCUGUACCUGCUUUUAUAUACCAUCGAGGACACAUCCACUGAUGCAGUGGUACGUUAACAACAUUACUGAAAUAUGAUUGGGCUGUCUUUCCUGAGUAAAGCCCACACCCAUAUAAGAUAACCUGUGUGUGGAUUGGCCUCAUGGCUGCUACUAAUAUAUAUUAUAUUGAAUAUGUAUCAGUGUGUGGAUGGAAUCAGAAUAUAUUCA
rnacentral:lncRNA from 15 species